CAGCACAGCAGUAGCAAUACUGUGGGUGGCGAGUGGCGGACGGGUGAGUAAUGCAUCGGGAUCUACCCAAACGUGGGGGAUAACGUAGGGAAACUUACGCUAAUACCGCAUACGUCCUACGGGAGAAAGCGGGGGACCUUCGGGCCUCGCGCGGUUGGACGAACCGAUGUUCGAUUAGCUAGUUGGUAGGGUAAUGGCCUACCAAGGCGACGAUCGAUAGCUGGUCUGAGAGGAUGAUCAGCCACACUGGAACUGAGACACGGUCCAGACUCCUACGGGAGGCAGCAGUGGGGAAUAUUGGACAAUGGGCGCAAGCCUGAUCCAGCAAUGCCGCGUGUGUGAAGAAGGCCUUCGGGUUGUAAAGCACUUUUAUCAGGAGCGAAAUACUACCGGCUAAUAACCGGUGGGGCUGACGGUACCUGAGGAAUAAGCACCGGCUAACUUCGUGCCAGCAGCCGCGGUAAUACGAAGGGUGCAAGCGUUAAUCGGAAUUACUGGGCGUAAAGCGUGCGUAGGCGGUGAGUUAAGUCUGUCGUGAAAUCCCCGGGCUCAACCUGGGAAUGGCGAUGGAUACUGGCUCGCUAGAGUGUGAUAGAGGAUGGUGGAAUUCCCGGUGUAGCGGUGAAAUGCGUAGAGAUCGGGAGGAACAUCAGUGGCGAAGGCGGCCAUCUGGAUCAACACUGACGCUGAGGCACGA
rnacentral:rRNA from 1 species